rnacentral:rRNA from 1 species
UACAGAGGGGGCAAGCGUUGUUCGGAAUUACUGGGCGUAAAGGGCGCGUAGGCGGCCUGUUAAGUCGAACGUGAAAUCCCCGGGCUCAACCCGGGAACUGCGUCCGAUACUGGCAGGCUUGAAUUCGGGAGAGGGAUGUGGAAUUCCAGGUGUAGCGGUUGAAAUGCGUAGAUAUCUGGAGGAACACCGGUGGCGAAGGCGGCAUCCUGGACCGAGAUUGACGCUGAUGCGCGAAAGCCAGGGGAGCAAACGGGGAUAGA